UCUAAAUGAUGACAAUUCAGUUCUGCUACUGACAAUCUUUGACGAAUGCUAUACCAAAACUUCUGAAGG